rnacentral:rRNA from 1 species
AACGUAGGACACGAGCGUUAUCCGGAGUUACUGGGCGUAAAGGGCGGGUAGGUGGUGCGAUAAGACUGGUGUGAAAGCCUUCGGCUUAACCGAGGGAGGACACUGGUGACUGUCGGACUUGAGGCAGAUAGAGGGGUGUAGAAUUCCGGGUGUAGUGGUGAAAUGCGUAGAGAUCCGGAGGAAUACCAGAGGCGAAGGCGGCACCCUGGGUCUGACCUGACACUGAUCCGCGACAGCAUGGGGAGCGAACGGGG